UCAGGAUGAACGCUGGCGGCGUGCUUAACACAUGCAAGUCGAACGAAGAUGCCGGAGUGCUUGCACUUUGGCAGACUGAGUGGCGGACGGGUGAGUAACGCGUGGGUAACCUGCCCUUAUACAGGGGGAUAACACGUUGGAAACGACUGCUAAUACCGCAUAAGCGCACGGUAUCGCAUGAUACAGUGUGAAAAACUCCGCUUUGAGAUGGCCUCGCGUCCGAUUAGCUAGUUGGUGAGGUAAUGGGCCCACCAAGGCGACGAUCGGUAGCCGGCCUGAGAGGGUGAACGGCCACAUUGGGACUGAGACACGGCCCAAACUCCUACGGGAGGCAGCAGUGGGGAAUAUUGCACAAUGGGGGAAACCCUGAUGCAGCGACGCCGCGUGAGUGAUGAAGUAUUUCGGUAUGUAAAACUCUAUCAGCAGGGAAGAUAAUGACGGUACCUGACUAAGAAGCACCGGCUAAAUACGUG
rnacentral:rRNA from 1 species